rnacentral:rRNA from 1 species
GCGGCUACUGCUAUCAGGUUUCGACUAAGCCAUGCGAGUCAAGGGGUCGUAAGACACCGGCGUACUGCUCAGUAACACGCGGACAAUCUACCCCCAGGUGGAGGAUAACCUCGGGAAACUGAGGCUAAUACCCCAUAGUUGUCAUGUGCUGGAAUGCUUUGACGAUGAAAGAAUUUCGCCUGAGGAUGAGUCUGCGGCCUAUCAGGUAGUAUGUGGUGUAAAGGACCACAUAGCCUAAGACGGGUACGGGCCUUGAAAGAGGGGGCCCGGAGAUGGACUCUGAGACACUAGUCCAGGCCCUACGGGGCGCAGCAGGCGCGAAAACUGUGCAAUGCGCGCAAGCGCGACACGGGAAGCCUGAGUGCCUUAACUAUGUUAAGGCUUUUCUUGAUCCUAAAAAGCUCAAGGAAUAAGAGCUGGGUAAGACGGGUGCCAGCCGCCGCGGUAACACCCGCGGCUCGAGUGGUAGUCACUUUUAUUGAGCCUAAAGCGUUUGUAGCCGGACUUGUAAAUCUCUAGGAAAAUACUUCUGCUUAACUGAAGAAAUUUUGGAGAGACUGCAAAUCUAGGGACCGGGUGAGGUUGAAUGUACUUCUGGGGUAGGGGUAAAAUCCUGUAAUCCUGGAAGGACGACCGGUGGCGAAGGCGUUCAACUAGAACGGAUCCGACGGUGAGGAACGAAGGCUAGGGGAGCAAACCGGAUUAGAUACCCGGGUAGUCCUAGCUGUAAACACUGCCCACUUGGUGUUGCAUCUCCGGUAAGGGGGUGCAGUGCCGUAGCGAAGGUGUUAAGUGGGCCGCUUGGGGAGUAUGGUCGCAAGGCUGAAACUUAA